rnacentral:lncRNA from 1 species
CUUGCAUGGUGAUCAACUCUGUCGAUAUUUGAACAAUGCCUGCUAUAAGUGCGAAAACACUCAACACUUUGUGAAAGACUGCCCUCAGUUGCCGAAGGACAUGGCCAGACUUGUAGCCCAGGGUCAUGCGUAUCACCUUGAUGAACCUGGGGCCCUCACCACUUUAGUCCUCAUCCAGGGAAUGUUUUAUUUCCAUGAUAUUUAUGCCAGAGCUCUGAUCGAUACAAGUGCUACUCACUCUUUCAUUUCUUGUACAUUUACUUGUAAAUUAUAUAUUAGACGUGAACCUUUAACUGAAGUAUUAGCAGUAGAACUCCCUCUAGGGGUUUAUUAGAAGCUCGUUGUAUGUAUGAAAAUUAUAAAAUAAAGACUUUGGAAGUCGAACUAUUAGUA